rnacentral:rRNA from 1 species
AACGAACGCUGGCGGCAUGCCUAACACAUGCAAGUCGAACGAGAUCUUCGGGUCUAGUGGCGCACGGGUGCGUAACGCGUGGGAAUCUGCCCUUUGGUUCGGAAUAACAGUUGGAAACGACUGCUAAUACCGGAUGAUGACGAAAGUCCAAAGAUUUAUCGCCAGAGGAUGAGCCCGCGUAGGAUUAGCUAGUUGGUGUGGUAAAGGCGCACCAAGGCGACGAUCCUUAGCUGGUCUGAGAGGAUGAUCAGCCACACUGGGACUGGGACACGGCCCGGACUCCUACGGGAGGCAGCAGUGGGGAAUAUUGGACAAUGGGCGAAAGCCUGAUCCAGCAAUGCCGCGUGAGUGAUGAAGGCCUUAGGGUUGUAAAGCUCUUUUACCCGGGAUGAUAAUGACAGUACCGUGAGAAUAAGCUCCGGCUAACUCCGUGCCAGCCGCCGCGGUAA